UACGUAGGGUGCGAGCGUUAAUCGGAAUUACUGGGCGUAAAGCGUGCGCAGGCGGUUUGUUAAGACAGAUGUGAAAUCCCCGGGCUUAACCUGGGAACUGCAUUUGUGACUGGCAAGCUAGAGUAUGGCAGAGGGGGGUAGGAUUCCACGUGUAGCAGUGAAAUGCGUAGAGAUGUGGAGGAAUACCGAUGGCGAAGGCAGCCCCCUGGGCCAAUACUGACGCUCAUGCACGAAAGCGUGGGGAGCAAACAGG
rnacentral:rRNA from 1 species